rnacentral:rRNA from 1 species
CCAAUAGCGUAUAUUAAAGUUGCUGCAGUUAAAAAGCUCGUAGUUGAAUUUCGGGAACAAUUUCCUGGUCGUGCCUAUGGUACGUACUGGUUUUGUUGGUCCCUUCCUUCUGAAGAACUGCUAUGUCAUUAACUUGGUGUCGUGGGGAAUCAGGACUAUUACUUUGAAAAAAUUAGAGUGUUUAAAGCAGGCUUAGGUUUGAAUACAUUAGCAUGGAAUAAUGAAAUAGGACGAUCGAUCUUAUUUUGUUGGUUUCUAGGAUUGAACGUAAUGAUUAAUAGGGAUAGUUGGGGGCAUUAGUAUUCAAUUGUCAGAGGUGAAAUUCUUGGAUUUAUUGAAGACUAACUACUGCGAAAGCAUUUGCCAAGGAUGUUUUCAUUAAUCAAGAACGAAAGUUAGGGGAUCGAAGACGAUCAGAUACCGUCGUAGUCUUAACCAUAAACUAUGCCGACUAGGGAUCGGAUGAUGUUAAUUGUUUAAUAACUCAUCCGGCGCCUUACG